rnacentral:lncRNA from 1 species
GUAAUGAAAGCACAUGCUGUAUAUAGUAAAACUAUAACCAUUCUAUGUUUUAGCCGCUCAAAUGUGUGAUACAUCAGAGGAAAGCAACAACAAUUAAUAAAUGGAUCAUUUCUUUCUGCAAUAAAUUAAUCACUUUUUUUCUUCUCUGCAGCUUUUCCAUGGUAAUACAAAAAACAAUGAUGGAAGAUUUGUUUAUUUCUUACUUUUUAAUGUCAAAGCACAAGCAAAUGAAGACCCAAAGUACAAACAAAGCUCUGGAAUGGAGGACACUUCUGUCUUACUUUUUUAAUCUGUCUCAUUGUACCCUUAAACUGGAGGUGAAGGAAGUGACUUUAUCUGUCAAAUGUAAAUAAAACAAAAUGUCAUCUAUUUUCAUUGACUUUUCAGAAACAGGCUGAUUAUACUUAUGUUUGUAUAUAAAUACAUAUAAAGAGUACACAUAGGGCUGGUAAAGUUGGAGUUGUACAUGUCUUUGCUGUCAAAUCUGCAAAAAAAAUAAAUAAAGUGUUAUAUUCUAUUGGUUUGUGUCCUGUCCUCAAACGUACACUCCCACAUGAUCAACAUAGUAGAGGCAGGAUGUAGAUAAGAAGGAUGUGUCUGGGUUUUCUCUCAGUGACAAAGUGUCAGCGUGGGGUGAGUGUGUGAAACAUUGCUGUCCAUGAGAAACGUCAUGCAGCCCCAUGAAGUCCAGCACGCCGCAGCCUUUUUAGGGAAAGUUGAUAACGGAGAGAACACGUUAUCUAAAAAGGUUAUUAUUACCACAGCAGAGCAUCCCUCAGCCUCCUCCUCCACACAGCAGUCUGUGGCUUCACCCUCUGACACUCUCCUCUCCUCUGCUCUGCUGCACACACACUAUCCAUCACAUCCUCAGGUGACUUGACUGCAGAGCCAUGUCAGACACAGAGGAAGUAGUGGAGGAGUUUGAAGAGUAGGUUUCAUUUUGUGUUCCUUCAAUAUUCCUGUACAACACUAAAAGAUCAUUUAUUAUGUUCUCACACUAACGUGUUAGUGUAACAGAGAAAAAGUUCACACGAUUUUGCACAAAACAGUAAUUCAAUCAUGUGUUUUGUG